ACAGGAUCACCAGGUUGAUGUACCCCUCCUCUGAACCACCCCUCCCUUGUUGGCAGAUCCAUUGUCCACUCUUCUGUGCUUGUCCUGUGUCCUGGAAAGCUGACUUCUAUGGCCUGAAUUACCCAGUCUCCCUUGUCCUCUGAGCUGAUGGAAGGCACUGGCCAGGACCACGUGUUCGGGUUAGCUGGCUGCAUUCCCACCGUCCGUUUCCUCUCCAGUCCCUUGCAUGUGGUGAGUGGUCAGC